CACGUAGGGGGCGAGCGUUGUCCGGAUUUAUUGGGCGUAAAGAGCUCGUAGGCGGCUCAGUAAGUCGGGUGUGAAAACUCCAGGCUCAACCUGGAGACGCCACCCGAUACUGCUGUGGCUAGAGUCCGGUAGGGGAGCAUGGAAUUCCUGGUGUAGCGGUGAAAUGCGCAGAUAUCGGGAGGAACACCAGUGGCGAAGGCGACUUUCUGGCCUGGUUCUUGACGCUGAGGCGCGAAAGCUAGGGGAGCAACGGG
rnacentral:rRNA from 1 species